GUGAGACUGCCGGUGACAAACCGGAGGAAGGUGGGGAUGACGUCAAGUCCUCAUGGCCCUUAUCGGGUAGGGCUUCACACGUCAUACAAUGGUCGGUACAGAGGGUUGCCAAGCCGCGAGGUGGAGCCAAUCCCUUAAAGACCGAUCGUAGUCCGGAUCGUAGUCUGCAACUCGACUACGCGAAGUCGGAAUCGCUAGUAAUCGCAGAUCAGCAUGCUGCGGUGAAUACGGUUCCCGGGUCUU
rnacentral:rRNA from 1 species